rnacentral:lncRNA from 1 species
AUCUUCUGCAACAUCUUCUGACUUGGACCGUUUUGAACGGCGAUAAUCCGAGUAAUCAUCCACAAGGUUGUCAAGAACCUGCUCAGCUUCUUUGAGCUUGCUUGCAAGUGCAAGAAUUGCAGCAUCUUUUGACCUGAUUUCAUGUGAGAGUUUCUGUUUUCCAUCUUGAAGAUCAAGAAUUUCUUGGAGCUCUGCAACAGCUUCAAAUAGCUGAGUUUGAAGGUUGUGAAAAGAGCGAGAAUUUCUUUGGAGGAAGAAGGAUAAGAAUCUGGUGCAGUUGAUGUCAAAGGUUGGGAUUAGGAAGACAAGAAGGAGGGCAGGGAACCUCGAAAUGCGCUAAUCCAGUGCGACCUAUUAGGCAAGUGAGGACAUUUGCAGAAGAAUAGACUGAGCUCUUGGCAGAGGGGGAAGCAGAGGAAGAAGUGUUGAAGAAGUUGGAAUAAUGCUUGGUGCAUUUGAUUGUUGAUUGGGUGGAUGAGAUUGCUGGGCUUGGGAGGCAAACUUAGCCGGAGUAGCGUUUUGAAGAGAAGGUGAAUUUGGAUUUUGGUAAGCCUAGCCAAGCUGGAGAUUGCACAAUCUGAUGCGGAACAUUCUGGAGCAUUUUGCACUUGGUUUCACCUUCAGCAAAACCUAAAUCAUCCUAAAAAGAAAAAAGAAUUACAAGUGAAUUCAAUUAAGUACAAUCUAACCACAAGUAGAAUCCAAAUAGAACAAGGACACACUGGCUUUGUUAGAGGGAAAAAACAAAAAUAUAAAUAGAUUGGUCCUGAUAGAACCAGAUCAUAAGGCAAAAGAAUGCUUGUUUCAGUUGAUUUUGAUCACAAUUUGCCAUAUAGAAGAGCUAAGACAAAAGGGGAAGAGAAUGCAACUUUAAAGGACUUUAUCCAUCAACAAUUUUAUGCAUCUAUGCUCCUGGCUGCUUUAUUCACAAUUCCACAUCCAAAGUAAUAGCAACUCAUUAAAUAUCAACUUGAGGAAACAUAUUUACUAAUCCUAGUUUUUUUAAGCCUGACACAUCGCGUCAGGUUGCCUGGAUUCUGCAGUGGUUGUGUAUUAUUUGGUGUUAGUUCUUAAGUAACACUUGCAAAAUUUCCUAUUGACUUGAAAUAUAGAUGGAACAAGCAAGCCUCCAAUAAGGCCAAAUGUGGCAUUCAAUUUAAACAUCACCAAGAGUAACAGUAUAACAAAAAAUUGCAAACAUAAUAUGCAUAAACAGAUAGAGUACAUUUGCAUGUUUUACAUUGUUGUUAUUAUAACUCUUGCAUAUUAUGCAAGGUUGCUAGUCAAUCUUGACUGUUAGGUAGUUAAUCUGGAGCUGCCUUAGCAAAUGGAGAUAAAGAAACUAUUCUAGUAACAAGGAGGACAUUGCAUAUAAAAAACUAGUAGUAACUGAUUAGAUGCCUCUCUGCAGUUCGAGUGAAAUAUGUUAUUUCAAUUAUCUUUACAUAAUGUCGUGCCUUCGCAACAUUCUGCUGGUCUAGCUGCAGAUUUCUUUAACCAAGAAAAGUAUAGAAAAAAUCAAAACUACCUACUUUGUAACACUGUCAGAGUGUAUACAUACAUUCCAGAGGCAACAUACAUACUAUUCAAUAGAUAAAUAGUGCAAGCCGCAGCCUUCGCCCAAAAAGACUUUGACAUAUUCUUUAAUUUCAACAUGCAUCUCACCAUAUAAAAAGUUUUGAUUUAUUUUUAGACACAAAAAUCUAAUGCAUGAGAGUAGGGGUGAGCAAACGGUACAAAUUCGGUAAUUCAGUUAACUGAAUUCAGUGAAUUCGGUUAUUUGACUUAUAGAAAUCUAAACCGCUUUCAAUUUCAAAUUGACUAUAACCGAAUUCAUUUCGCAGCCGAUUUCGAAUUUGGAAAUGGUAAUGAAUUGGUUAACCAAAUUCAUUUAUAAAAAAAAACUGAUUUUUUAAAAAUUAUUAUUGAUUUGAUCUCCAAAUUUAUUCAUAAUUUAACACAUUACUUAUGUUCUAAUCAUUUUGUGGUUUAAUUCAAUUGGCAUUUAUUUGAUAAUUUAUUCCUAGAAUCCUUAGCCUAUGAUUUAAGGAACACAUAAAAAAUGAUUAAUUUAAACUAGAAUAAAUCUUAGACUAUAUAAUGAUUAGUGAUAAUUUAUGAAUUUAUAAUUUACAAUGAUUAAUAAUAAGUAAUAUUAGUUACAAACUUACAAAUUACAAUGAUUAGUGAUAAGUUAUAUUAGUUACAAACUUAUAGUUUAUUUCAAAUCAAAAUAAAACUUAUUUACUUACAUAUGUUAUUGUGAAAGUCAAUAUACUAAUACAUUGAUUUGCAAUUCAUAUACAUUCACUUACAAUGCUUAGUUGUCUUGUCUAUACUUAAAGCCUUAAGAUUAGUGAAUAAAGAAUAUGAAUUUUUAUGUUAAAUAUGUAAUGUAAAUUUAGAGCACGUUAAUACUUGCAAGUUACAAGUUACGCAUUCAAAUAUUCAAUAAUUCAAACAUGAAUGAUGUAUAAAUUACCAAUAUCUAAAUUGUAAUUACUAAUUAUGUUUAUUGUUUAAUAUUUAGUAUUAUACAUAUAUGUAUUAAUUAUUAUCUAAUUCUAAUCAUGUUACUCAUGUAUAAACUUGGUAAACUUGGUUUAAAACAAGCAAGUUCUCUCUAUCUUGGUUCUAAAAUGGUAAACUGGGUUUAAAACAAAUAAGUUCUCUCUAUGUACAAUCCUUAGAACACCUAAUAUAACUGUACAACAUUUUUUCUUAAUUGAAUUCAGAAAGCUGAAUUUGGCUUUUUAAGGCAUUUUUACAAAUAAGUUUUGGGCAAUAAUUAGAAGAGAACAAACAGAGCAGAAAUUAGCAACCAAGAGAUGACUAUCCCAGCUGUAUUUGAUUGAAUUCAAAUUUUCAUCCAUUCACAAUAUCCAUCAUUUUCCAUUCCAUUUCAAUCUGUUUGGAACCUAAAUGAUUUUGCAUUGAUUUGAUAAUUUAAGUAUUUCUUGUCAUUUAUAUCUUGUGAGUAGUUUUGCAGAAGCUGGUUUUCAUGGACACAUAUUCGACAAAGAGUAAGCAGUUUAAACUGGAGUAAUCUUGAUUUUCAUGAUUGCUUAAUAUAAGCCUUAAAGCACUGAACAUCAUCAAUGAUAUAAAAGUGGUCGGAAUCUUUUCAGAAAAAGGGUAACUUGGUUGACAUUGUGUUCCGAAGUCACAACCAAUGUUUCAACAACACAAAGAUUAAGAGCAACCAACAAAUAAUCUACCAUUUUAGUUCUGGCGUUGGAUUUGCUAUUCUUUUCAUUUUUUUUCCUCCAUUUCUUCUUUUUUGUUAAGUGGAUGAUUAUGAAGAUUGUGAAGGGAUUUUGUAUAGGAAGAGAUGUUGAUUAAUGAUUCUACGGAAUGAAAUGUCUGAAAUGAAAGAAUAGCAGCAAUUGUGCAGGAGAAGGUGAAAGAAGGAAUGCGUGAAUAUUCACAAUUAUAUGGAGAAUUUAGCAAUCAGCUUUCAAGCAUUUACUCAUAUAUCAUCCAGAGCUUUGUUCCAAAUCUUUAGGCUGUAGCACCUCUUUUGAUAGCUGAUGUGAUGAGCACGCGUUGCUGUCAAAUUAGCAGUCGCUGCUGUUAGUUCAAUAUUGGCAUUACAUUGAAAUGUAAAUCACUUGCUUCUUCAAAUGUAAAUCACUUGCUUCUUCAAAUGAGAUAUCUUUCUUUUCACUUACUUAUUCUUCAUUGUGCAGUCAAUAAUGUGUCAGGAGGCAUUCAGAUUGCUUAUUCUUUGCUUUGUGUUCCUUUCUUCAGAUCCACAAAACUCACACCUUUGCCAGAAACUCUUGUAGAUGGGAAGCGCCAAAUUUUUUAUCAGGUCAGAAUUUCUCAUUUUACUUGUGUUUAACUAACUGUUAAAAUUAUUUGUGCUUGCAAUUAUCAGAUGGAGAAGAACAGAGGGUUAACUCGUGCUCGGAAGAAGCUAACCAAAAAUCCAAGAAAGAAGCACAAGGUAUCUGGCAAUGACUGCUGAUCUUUUUUCUUUAAACAAAUUAAACUCCCAACUACAUAGCUGGUGUAUCUCUCUUUCUCACAGUUGAAGCACCAAAAAGCAGUGGUGCGUCGGAAGGGACAAGUGCGAGAUAUCAGGAAGCCAACUGGUACUUAUGGUGGGUAUUAAUGCAGCAAUCAGCCGCAGCAUUAGGUUUAAGAGCUAGUCAUUGCGGUGCUGCAUUUGUAUUUUUGGAAAUAGGAUGUUGUUUUAUAUACAUGUUUUUGCAGUAAUUAUCAUGUUGAAGAGGGAAUUUUAGGUUGAGGGAAGUUCAUGUCCGCUGUCUAUUUUUAGUAGACGUACAAUUUUUGUGAUAGUGACGAAAAAGUUUUGGAGUUUUCAAUCAGAUCUUACCUUCAUGCAUUCAUGGUCCAAUAAGUAGUACAUAUAAGCUCUUACUUCCUUGGUGCUCAACAUUCUAGUAAACCUGGUAGUAGUUUCAUUUUAUCAUAUUUGAUGAUACUACUAGAUGUGUGUGGCUUACUGUAUCUUUUAGCUCCAUCUGCCAAUCAUUAUCUGUGUAAUUACCUGUUUAAGAAAUAAAAGUACCUUUUUGGUGACCUGUUAUCAGAUUCAUUUACACUUACAUCAGAAAAAGUGAGAAGGAACCCUUCGAUUACUUAUGUGUUUGUGUGUGUGCUGGAGUUUUUGUUUAUUUCAGUUGAUAUUAUUGUUGAAAGCAGGAAAUGUGGUGGUGCCUUUGUUUUCACCAUGGGAUUGUAGAUGUUUUCACAUCAGCACUGUUUCUGCUCCAAUAUUCCGGGUCUGGUAACGUGUUAAAAUGAAUCAAUGCAUAAGUACAGCUAGUUUUGGAGUUUAGGGGGGAGAGAGGAAAAAUUAGUUUUAGACAAAAAAAUGAUAGGAGAUGAGAAGCAAGAGAUUAGAGAGCUUUUAAAUCUUGUUUUAGAGUUCAAGGGAUGAAAGAAAUGGUUUGGUAAAUUUAAUGCUAUCCUAUUUUAUAUAUUUUUGAGGCUAAAAGUUGCAUUUUGAUAACUCAAAUCCAUUUCUCACCAAUUUGGACACUUUCUUAACUGUGGCUCCAAAAGUCAUCCGCUCAUUUCUGUCCAUUUUUAUCCUCAUAAAAACUCAAAAUGGAAACUUGACAUUUCUUCUCAUGUCUCCUCUCUGUCGAUGCUUAUAUUGUGCAGACAAAGUGGUUUGUCUACUAACAGAGACAGUAACUCACAUCCAACUCGUUGACCAACCAAACAAUGAGAGCCAUUGAAUUGUGUGUAUCUUAAAGUUUGGUAUAGCUGACAUGGAAAAGUUUAGUUCUGAUUAAAAUAUAAAGCUUGCAAAUAGCUAGCAAGGUUUUGAUUGUAGUAAAUGAUAGAUUAAGAUACAGAAACCUAUCAGCUUGCAGGCGAACACAUCAUCAAGAGUACUAGUCUCCAAAAACAAUGUUGGUAGAUGUUCUGUGUUCACAUUUCUAAUCGUACAUUUCUUUCCUCUAAUAUAAUAAAUUUUGCAAAUUCUUUGGAACCAGAUUUUCCAAAACUCAAAUACAUUGUGCAAUGUUCCAAUACUCAAUUCACUUUCACGUAUAGCAACAAGGGUCUGUCAAGCAAAAUGCCAAAAGAUUGUAUAGCAUCAUGAGACUGAAUGUACAGACUGAAGAUAGCAUAUUAUAGAAUACACAGAAUUGACUAAAUCAUUAACACACUCAGUGUACUUCAGUUUUCUUAGAUUUUAAGCAGAUUGUGACAACUUAGCAUCCAAUUAGAAUAUGAUCAAAGUAGAAAAUCUCAUAGCUCUUGCAUCACUCGCUGUUGGGGCAGCUCCCCUUGUGACAUCAUCUUCCCUAUAAAUCAAAAGAUACGCAUCCUAUAUCCACUCAAGCCUUCUGGUGGAUUGGUGGAAGGAUUACCACUCAAGCUUUUUGCAUUUGCCAACUUAGAACCCUUCAACAGACGAAAGCUUCUCAAUUCGACUAGGUUAUGUUUCUUUAAAAGGGCUGACAAGCCUCAUUUGCAGCAGUUGUCAUCUAAAUGGAAACAAAUUUGGUAUCUGUUAGGUUAAGUGCAAUAGUAAAUACACUCCAGAAAAGUGGAAAUAAUAGACCUAGGAAGUAGAUGCAUGAUUAUGGGAGCAAGAACAUACCACAACUUAAAAAUCCGACCAGUGGCUUUCCCAUGUAUUGCUCAUCCAUAGCUCUGUUAUUUAACCUUGAAAACCAUGGGUGGAAGAUUCAAAAUUUCAGACAAGUUUAAAAUAAAUGGCAAUUUAAGAAGAUCUUACUAAUUCUGUUUAUGAAAAUUCACGAAGCCAUAAAGAAAUCAGCAGUAUUGACAAAAGUCAAACAAAUUUUCUAAAACCAGAGAAUUUUCAUCACAAAGGGAAGUGUGUACCUCAUGCAUGAGAAUCCCUGCAGCUAGCCAGAAUGAUCUGUCGUUGUCAGCCUCAUAUAUUCUUCCACAAUUUAUCAAUCUGAGAGUAGACUCUCAAGCUAGACUCAAAACCGCCUACAACCACGGGAAGAAAUGGCAUCAGAUCAGAAGCUAUAUAGUAAGCAUACACCACUGUAGAAAGCAUUACACUCAUGCUGAAUUGUAAUUUAACGUUCUCUAUAUGGAAUUAAAGUGCAAGAAUCUUCCUCUUGGGAGAGAGCCCAGAUAAAUCCCUCCAGCAAAGCAAGCUUUCUGCUUACUUUUUCUAGUGCAACUGUGAAGGAGGUUUUGAACUAGGCUAGCUAAGACCUCAAUCUUGGGAGGUCUUGAACUAGGCCAGAUAUAGAAGAGGUUCCUCAAUAUGUGCAAUGACUCUGCUGUUCACAGAGUGUUCUUUGAGCCAAAAAGUAGCUACCAUCAGGCACCAACAAAGUUAGAAAAAUUAGUAACAUUCAAUUCUUAGAAGAUUACAACAUAAAUGAGCGCUUACUUUUUAAAGGAAUGAAGUGUUGAUUUAGAUCUUGAGUAGUUAAUACCAACAUCAAUAUAAGAGGAUAAGUAGCUGGCUAAAUUAUUCUAAUUCAUUAAACUUGACUUUUGUUCCUUGGAACCCAGCAUCUCAAUGUUUUGGUUGCGCCAAAUUUGUUAUGAAUAGAUUAACAUCAGGUUACUAAGGUCAGAAACCCUUUUGCACCCACAAUAUAGCCAAAUUCAAACUUCAUCUAAGUGAUCAAGCUAUUUAAACAACGUAUCAGGACUCUAGAUUUUGUUCAAGACAACCUGUUUCAAUAGAAAUAGUCCUCUUAGAUUUGAGAAACAAAAUCAAAAGUCCACAAAAACAUAAAUAUCAAGAAACAGGUAAAAAAAAAAUGAUAAGGCUGAUACAGGAUUGCACCAGCAUUUAUGGUACCAAACCCUUCCCAAAAUUUCUAAGCAAUUUCAAUUUCGAAAACCAGAGAGUUCAUUUUGUAAGAAUUCAUUAGAUAACAGAAAAAACUGAAUUUGCAAGAUACCUCAAAAAAUAAAGUCAAUAAAUUUACUUGAUAUUUAAGUCAUGCCUUAAAGCAGUUUCUUGAUAUUUCUUCCCAAUGGGUUUCUGCAGCAUUUGAUGCUACAGCAGAAAUGGCAUCGAAAUAAAGCCACACUACUUCCACGAAUUAACAGGUUAACUUCCCUGAGAUCCUGAAAGGGAGCUGGAAGAGAUGAUUUACCAGAACCAUAUAAAGCCCAAACCAGUGUUAUCCUUAUCACUUGAAAUAUUGACCUUUUUCAAGUUCAUAACUUUAAAGGCUAACAAUCUCCCAGUACUAUUACAAUUUGUUCGAUGAAAGUAACACAUAGGAUCAUGUUGAAAAUCAUGCUAAGUUUAGAAUCUCCAUGGAAGCAUAGGGAAUUCAGUUUACUUCAUGAAAUGCAUUCUUUAAAAAAAAAAAAACAGUUUGAGGAAAAAGCUCUUACUUUCAGCUAUAAGUGAAAAUCCUGAGCUGAAUGGAAAACACUGGUAGAAAAUGUCACUUUUUCAUUAUGUUACAAAUCUUUUACUAGAAAGAUACCCAAAAGAAUGUAUGCUUACAUGAGUCGCCAAGCUUGUCCACAGUCAUUCUCACGUAAAACAUUCUUAAAACUUCAAAGUAAUAGUGGUGUUAGUUGGCUACUUCAAUUGUCAAUCCUUACAAUCUCACAUGCACAUUACUCAUGUCGAAAUUUCAAACUAGAAAUAUGCAAGGAUGAAUAAGCAAAUGCCAAAAUAAAAGAGUAACCAUGAAGAUUGACUCUAAGGAGUUAAUGGCAGGCUGAAGUAGCUUCUGUGGUUAAAUAUUUUUGACAUAGAGGAUCACUCAUACAAAAUUUACCAUUUAUAGAAUUUCAAAAGACGCCAACGCAAUCUAGGAAUUUGUUUGAGCUAAAAGCAAGACUUAAACUAGUCUGAAACCUUCACCACUGCAUAUAGACCAAGUUUGAAUUAACAAUUCACUGAAAUAAUCGACGAUGCAAAUGUAAAAAAAAAUGGAGAUAAAGGAUUGAUAUGGCAUACUAAAUGCAUAAGCAAAGUAGAAAGAAAAAUAAGAUGAUCAAAUUUGAUCAAACAUACUUUGGUGGAUGCUGAAAAGUUAGCAUUAUUCAUAGCAAUGAAUUUGCAAACUUUAUGUUGCACACUAUAAACUGCAAAAUUUCGAAAUUAUUAGCUGUAAGAAUGACCUGUAGUUACUAUUUUCAAACAUAAGCUAUGAUAGCUGAGAAAGGUUUUGGAUAACCAUAGCUAAUACAACAAUUAUGUUUUCCGACCAUAUUGCAAUAAAUUUCAAAAAUGGUCUCACAAAAUUUCUCUCGUUAACAAAGUUCCAAAUAAUGUUAAUCCUUUUAACAUGUUGAAAGAUACAAAUAUUGGAGGAAGUAAAAAAUGGUAGUAGAUCACAAAGGAAUAUCUGGAAAGUGCUAAUUCCGGGAAAAAAGAUCACACAAACAUAAAUGGAAACAUUACCUAGAAAGCAGAAACGCACAGGAUGAAGGAAAAAUAGUUCGCAUCAAUGACUGAGCAGAAGUUAGGCUGCACAAAUGAGAUUUGAUUAACAAAUAUUAUCAAUACAUUUCCGCUGUAAAUACAAAGAAAAGAUUUUAAGGGAAAAGAAAUAUAGAUAGAUAGAAGAAGCAAAAUUAAUUGAAAAAACUGUGAAGUAGUAAGACAGAGGAAUACCUAGUAGCUUUAAUUGGGAAAACUGACGUUAUUUAUGAGCUUCAAAUGGGGAUUAGCCUCUGAUUUGCUGCUAAACAAUUACAGUAUCCGGAUUUGGGGAAUGCCGGAGAUCUUCGACCACUCAGAAUUGGGGUCGGUGGUGCUGCUACUGCUGCUCUCUGGUUUACAUCUUUCCUUUAGAAGGGGGCACCCGUGACUCUGCAGGCUUCUUAGUCUGGUGAGGCUUCUCAUAGAUUGGGGUAAAUUCUCUAGCUUUUCACAAUCCCAGAGCCUAAGUUGUUCAAGUGACGAAAGCUUCCCAAAACAAUCGGGCAAUGAUUUCACUCCAAAACCAUCUAAACAAAGAGUUGUUAGGGCAGAGAGGCGCUGAAGUUGCUCGGCAGAGAUUCCCAAUGAGACCAUCCACGCAGAAAUAAUUCUGAAAGGGAGGGGAAGUAGGGGUGCGGUGGUGGGAGAGCAUCAAAGAGGUAUAGGAAGGAAUGCAACUCUGUGGUUUCUGAGAAUGGUCCAAUCGAUAAGGUUCUCAAGCUUGUAAGAGAACAAAGCUUCCCCUUGGGCAAGUCCGUUAUUUUGGGACAACAUGCUAUGUCUAGGUAAGAGAGAGAAGGUGUUCGGGUUAAAUCAAUUGGAAAGGAGAUCAGAUCGGGGCAGCUGUGUACUGUCAAUUCCUCGAGAGGUAGAGGAGGAGGAGGAGAAGCACCGGAGAGGGAGGGCGGAGAAGUGGAAUCCCACUCUGACUCAGAUAGCUGGGGAUGGACAAGUGGGUCAACCCAUCGCACUCGGAAAUUUCUAAUUCGCGCAAGGCAGUGAGGUACUUGUCUCCCUUGGGGAUUGAAAUCGACUUGAGUGAAUCGCAAUCGGAAAUUUCUAAUUUCUCAAGGGACUCAAGACCAACCAAACGUUGAGUAGCACUAUUGUCAAUACAAGUGUGUGGUUGGCUCAACUCAAGCACUGUUUGGGAAUUUGGACCUUCUAAAGUUUGAGGAACAUCAGACGGAAAAUCCAAGAAUUGGGUCAAAUCAUGACAACAUCUUAACUGGAGAUGUGCAAGAUUUGGAUUGUUUUGAAAUAACAUAUUUGGUAGCUCAGUGAACCCAUUCACAGACGAAAGGCAAAGACUAGUGAGAGUGCUAACUCCGCUGCUGCGAAUAUAUUCCAUUACUGCUGACCCAUUCUUAAUCCAAUCGAUGUGCAAUUUCUUGAGACUUGGAAAAUGACUUGGAAAAGUUGCUAGUUCGGGGCAAUCUUCAAUCUCUAUCGUCUCAAGGACAGGAAAUACCAUCAAUUCUCUAUCAUGAACUUCUGCUUCCGUCCAUUCAGUCAAAUUGUGCAUGUCCCUUAGAAUGAAAUGUUCAAGUGCUGGAAACAAUUUUAGAGGACUUUGACUGCCGCUUCCACUAUGUAUGGUCGAUUCUCCAUAAAAAGAAGGUCCUAUGCUUGUUAUGCCAUCAAGACUUUCCAAGUGAAGAGAUCUGAGGGAGGACAUGUGCCCAAGAGUUGGUAACUCUUUGCAGUUUGUGCAAUUUCGCACUUCAAAGUGCCUCAAAUUCACCAAAUUCGUGAAAUUUUCUGGAAACUUUGUCAAUGAAUCACAAUCUUCAACUCUUAAUGUCUGCAAAAUGAUAAAGUCGACAAAGAGAGUCUGGCAUUAUUUCGAUUGAAGGUCUGGAUAAAUCAAGGUACCGCAAAUGAGUUAGCUUCCCAAUUGAUUUAGGAAGCUCCUCGACACUUGAUGGCCUUAAACUCAAAACUCGCAACAUAAAAAAUGAUAUCUCUCUAUCAUUAAGUGAUUUGUCUUCUAACAAAAAUAAUGUUGUAAUACACUUGAACCUUUCAGGGGAUGGAAAUGGCAUUUCUUCUCCACUUCUCUCCAGUGCAAGAUACUGAAUGGGAAACGUCCUCUGGUCAUCACUUCCAGACUCUGUCAACCUCAAAGUUUUAGAACUGGGAAUGGAUUGCACCAUAUCAUGCACAAGAUCAUGCAUUUUGCAAUUCACAACAUUCCCAUACCUAUCCUCCUUUGCAUCUUGAAACAAGUUACUAUCCAACAAAAUGGUAAAGUACAUGUUACCAACUUCCUCCAUACACAUAUUAUUGUUUCUUGGAUUUGAAUAAAGAAAUCCUUCUGCUGCCCAAAGUUGGAUCAGUUGAUUCCUUUCCAUUUCAAAAUCCUUGGGAAAAAUUGAACAAUAUGCAAGACAUUUUUUAAGAGAUGGAUAUGGAAGAUUAUCAAAGCUCAACUUCAAAAUUUCAUGAAUGCCAUUAUUUUCACCUCUUUGAAGCCCACUCUCUAAAGUUUCCCAUUCAGCCGUUCCCUUGUUACGCAACAUGCCCCGAGAACGCUUGCAGCUAAUGGUAAGCCUUGGCAUUUUUCUGCAAUCUUCAAACCUAUAUCUUCUUGCCGUCUAUUUGGCACUUUCCCAGCGCCAAAUGCAUUUUCUUUGAGAAUGAGCCAGCAUUGAUCAUGUGAUAAUUCUUUCAAGGAAUAAUCUUGAGGAGAAGAAAUUCUCGUGAUGGUUGCCACUUCUUUUUCACGAGUGGUCACAAGAAUCCAGCUCCCCAUGGCUUGGCUAGUACCCCUCAAAGACCCAAGAAACUCAUUCCAUAGUCUGGACUCCUUAUUCCAAACAUCGUCCAAGACCAGUAGAUACCUUUUACCGUCCAAUAAUUCCUUGAGCCGAUUGACUUUGGCGUCCUUACCCUCAACUCCGGUCAUUGUGCUUUCAAUGAUUCUAGCAUCAGCCUAAAAAGCCUAUUGUCAUUGAAAUCAUCCGACACGCAUACCCACAUGCUCUCCUCAAAAUGUUCCUCAAUCUUUGGAUCAUUAUAAACAUUUCGAGCCAAGGUGGUCUUGCCGAUCCCGCCCAUCCCUACUAUAGGAAGAACGGAGAUAGUUUCAUCAUGAUUAUUUGGGGCCGUCAACAUUUUUACUAUUUCUGAGACAUCAUUAUCUCUUCCAACGAAACACACAUCAACAGUAGCAGCGGCAGUCUCCCUAUUCUUUGGAAGAACACGAGGCGCAUCUCUAGCUCCAAUCUGUGGCUGGAGGCCAAAGCCCAAUGCUUCUUGAUUGAUUCUUUCCAAAUCCAUAUUGAUUUUCUGAAUUUUGUUGGCCAUUUUGCAACGAAAUGCAAUGGGAUUGGAAAGUGAGAAGAAGAAGCAUACCUUCCUCUUCAUUUGGUUUUGAAUCUCAACUUUGCGCCGGAUCAUCUCAUAGUUGAUGUCAUCCAACAGAUUACCAGCAUCGAAAGCCACACGUUCAAGCUUCUCCAGCCAACGCUUCACGAAUUGUUGAGUCACCUGUCUUUCCUCUGCAUCAUGAAGGAGAGCCUGGAUCAGAGUCAACGUAUCCCUCAGUUUCUCCAAGUCUUUCUUGAAUGCAACAAACCGGCCAAUUUGUUCAGAAGCCAAAUUUAUUGCCUUCUCCACUAGAACUUCUACAACGGGACCAAGUAGUGCAUCCGCCAUCAGGUCAGGUCGAUAUCUGGGAGAAAGAGAGCAGUUGAUAGUUUUGAGAGUGUGGAAUGGAACCGGGCAAUUUGCAAGUUUGAAGGUGAGAACGAGUUGAAUGUAGCAGUCGGUGAAACCAAAAGUCUACGAGUAGUUUGCUGCAAUAGAAGGAAAACGAAAAGGACGAAAAGGUUCCCGACAAACAUAUGACGUGAUAGACACGACAGGAAAGGAAAUGAAUUCUUUACUUUAACAAAAAGUUGCCAAGAUCUACUUUACUUUCUAAACCAAUACUCUUCUAGUUGUUUGGCAAUUGUGCACAAAAUCAACAAGAAAAUGUCCCUUCAUUUUCAAGAAUCUCAAAAUCAUCUUACUUUAUCUUGAGUAGAAAAUCAGAUGCCAAAUAUUCGGGCAAAGUAGGAUGAUGGUUUCUUAAGCAAAAGCUAAAUGUCUACGGGAUAAUUUUCAAUGUUCCUGAAUGUCUACAAAAAAUCAAGAUGGAAUUCAAUUCCACCGAGAAAAGGGAAAAAGAAAACUAAGGGAAGUUGGAAUUCAAUUUCUCACCAUCUAAACCUCAAUUUCAGAGGCUGUGCUCGGUGCUCAAAAGUUUGAAGCAAUUAAUAAUGAACUUACAAGAAUUUUCAUAGUCAUCCAUGAUAGACGCUUUUGUUAAAUACAUUUUACCUUCUUUUUUUUUCUAGUUUUUUUAGGCUAUUUUUUUACUUUUGUUUGUUCGGAUAAUAAUUUAUUUGGAUGAUUUGUUUGGUUUAGUUACUGUAACAUUUUGUGUGAUGUGAUGUGAUGUGAUAUAUGUGAGAUAAAAAGGUGAUUUGAGAAGAUAAAAGGUGAUCGAGAUUUGUAAGGGUAAAUUUUGCAAGAUCAAAAAUUAGGAUUUGAUCAAGAAAAAAUGAAGCAGAAAACGAAGUGUAAAAUGCUUGACCAAAGUGCAUCCUUUAUUCCUUUUCCUUUAUCAAUCUAUCCAUUUAUUUUUCAUUUUUGUGGUGGCCAGUUCAUUAUAUUAUCUCAGAUUGACCGAGUCUAUGCCCAAAAGUCUAAAACAAUAAUUCACGUACUGGGCCAUUUCAAUAAUGCAGCCCUGGGGGGGAUUGAAAAGCAACACAAUAAUGAUAUACUCCUUUGAUUCUUACGCCAAUGCUUUCUUACUCGUUAAAAUUGGUGGUGCAGAAAAUAUCCCACAAGAAUAUAACAAAGAAGAAGAAAUAUGAGAGAACUCUUGAGACGUGAUGAUAUUAUUACAUGUAAAUGAUUUUUUUUUGCAAAUAAUCUCUAUCCAAAAUCACAAGUUCUCCAUCCCCUUGUUAAAUGAUCCAUGUGUUUUUCUAUCUUGUGCUUGCAUUGGAUUCCCAUUAUUAUCUCAGAUUGACUGAUGCUCAGAAGUCUGAACCAAUAAUGAAGUCACGGCCAUUUCAAUAAUUCAGUCUGGGUGGAUUGAAAAGGAACUUACAACCAUUUCCACGGUCAUCCAUGGCAGCAGACGCGUCUCUUGUGUUUUUAGGCUAUUUUACUUCUAACCCAAGCUGCAUUUAUUGGGCAUUGAAUAAAAUUUCACUCAUUGGUGUUUGGUAACUUUUUUUUUUUUGGCUCUCUUUUACGGCAAUAAGAAGGUAUAAUGUGACAAAUUUUGUACCACUCGAUUUAUCAUUUAUGAGUGGAGUCAUAAAUCGGCUAAUUGAUUGAAAUAUAGAUACUUGCCAAAAAGUUCCGUCAAAUGUGAUCCAUCAGCUCCGUGGUAUCAUUCUAUGCCCGUCGCUCCUACACGGCGCGACGGGCAGCAAAUUUUUUUUUUUUUUAAAGUUGUUCUGGCCGUCGCGCCAUGUUGGAGCGACGGUCAGAGCUGUCAGAAAUUUCUGACCGUCGCUCCUAUAUGGCGCGACGGUCAGGAAUCUAAGGGUAAAGGCAUGAAAACUGCGAGGCAUUGAUAUUAUUUUGUCUUUGACGAUGUUUUAUAUCUCAUCCAUUUAAUGCAUUUCACAUGACAUUUAAUUUAAUUUUGUUGUCUACUUUUUCUGUUUAAUCCAAUCACUUUUAAUUUGAAUAACGUUAAACAUUUUCAAAAUAAAGAAGUACAAGUUAUUUUAUUAAACCCUAUAAUUGGAUAGAAGGGUCCCUAUACGAUAAUACCUACAAAACAAAUAAAUACUAGUCGUUUUACAGCUAUUUUAAUAGAUUAAAUUAUUAAAACUAAUUAUCAUAUAUCAAAUAAUGACACGCAAAUAAUUCUUCAUUUCUACAAAUAUGUUAUUAAUCUUUUUAUACGAUUACAUUUUAUAUGAAAAUUCAAAUAUAUAAAUCGUAAUUCAUAUUAUAAUUUUUCAUUUUUUGACACAAUUACGGUUCCUUUAACAUUCUGUGUGCAUGAUACAUAAUAAAGUUAAAAUUAACAAAUCAUAAUAAUAUUAAGCAAUACUUUCAUCCAUUACGCAAUCACUUCAAUUUAAAUCAUAUUAUCAAAUUAUUUUUUAAAUUUAACAAAUCAUAACAGUUACGCAUGUUAUAUAACUUAAACUUGAUAAAAUGGUAAACAUUAAUUCUUUAAGAAUUCCCUAAAUCCUUUAACAAAUGGAUCAAAUUUUUUAAAUCUAAUCUCCUUUAAAAUGCUAAAAUUCUUGCGAGCCCAAUGUUUGUUUUUAAAAUUUUGUCAAACUGAAUGUAUUGUUUUUAAAACUUUUCAUUUUAAAUAAUUUUUACAGAAAAAUUUUUGCCGAAUUCCCAAUUGAAUUGGACAAAGAUUUUAAAAAAAAAACAUUUCUAAAUCGCCGGGCUGAAGGAUUUUUUAUUAAAACAAAUUCUAAAUUAUUUGUAACCGUAAACCCUAACCCUAACCGUAAAUGUAACCCUAAGAAAAAAUUUUCUUUUUUACUGAGGAGGAGGAUUUAAAAAAAAAAACAACAACAUUUCUGACCGUGCCAUGUUGGACCGACGGUCAGAAGAUUUUAAAAAAAAAAUAAAUUCCUGACCGUCGCGCCAUAUAGGAGCGACGGUCAGAAAUUUCUGACAGCUCUGACCAUCGCUCCAACAUGGCGCGACGGCCAGAACAACUUUAAAAAAAAAAAAAAAAAAUUUGCUGCCCGUCGCGCCAUAUAGGCAUAGAAUGAUACCACGGAGCUGAUGGACCACAUUUGACGGAACUUUUUGGCAAGUAUCUAUAUUUCAAUCAAUUAGCCUCAUAAAUCUGAUCUACCCAAACUUUUGCCUCUUUUCAUGAGCAGACAGACUUGUACGAAACAAAAAACAACUAAGCAGUGUACGAAAAGUGUAAAAGACUUCGACUAAACAAGGGAUGACUGAGUGAGUCUAUGCUGGCAAGUCUGAAGCAAUAAUGAACUUACGGACGAAGGGCCGGAGCGGUUGUCUGUAACGGGCCAUCAUCAACGGACAAAACGAAGCCAUGUCGCCAAAUUAUAUCAGCUAAAUAAGACGGCGUCGUUUUAUUGAGUGUCAAAUAAAAAAAUAAAAAUUUUGGAAACGGAUGGAGCAUCAUUGUCAAAUAGCAUCAAAUUUAUCCCGCCUAAAUUAUUAAUGAAAAGUUCCUUUUUAUCAAAAAUCCCCAUUUCACUUUCCUCAUUUCCAAAACCCUUUCCCCGUUGUCUGGUAAUGCAAAAAAUCACUCCACGAAAGAACUGCCAUUUCACUCCACAGAAUCACUCCACAAAAUCACUCCCAUUUCACACCCUGUUGUCUGCUAAUUUCUAAAACAAUUGCUUGAAUUCCUCCUAAAAAAGACCCACAGUGUUUUUUGGAGGAGGAGAAACUGCAUAAUCUAAAGCAAGAUAGGAUCUUUUACACUCUCUGCUCCUAUGUUGCCCUUGUAAUGUUUAUCCGCAACAUUGAUACUCUUCAUUUUUUGACAUUUUUUUAAUUCAUUGGGGUCAAAAUUUUCUGGAAUUUUCGAGUUAAUUUCUUAUUUUAGUGAGUCUUAAAGUUUCACAUUAGUUUUCGUGGAUGGAUUGACGAAAUUUUGGAGCUUUGUUUAUUUCGAGCUGGGUAGCUCAGCUGGGCAGGACAAAAUUGUUGAAAUUAUGCUUGUAAAAAAGUUAUAUUUUUUAUUUGAAAACUUAGGUGACCCCAAUGAGGAGGUUCGUAAUAUUGUUGAAAUUAAUGUGAAACUUGGGCUAGUAGCUCAAGUGGUACCAGAACUUCAACCCCAAGAUCCUUAUACAGAGGGACCAGGGUUCGAAUCCUGGGGAGGCCCCCCUCCAAGCACCCGAAGCUGGGGCGGACAAAAUACACAAUUGGCCUCCACGGGGGAAGCUCUGCGCUUCUUCAAGGAGUGUACCUCAUCUUUGUUGCAGCAGCAGAGCUCUAAGCCUCAAGAAGAUAGAUUCCACCCUCUUCUUUUUAUACUGUACCAUGAAUCUUUUCCAAUACUUAACUAUAAACCCUCAAACUAGAUUUGUCAUUGCCUACAACAUAAGAAAAGAUGCCACUAGAUCAAAAGUUGCCCACCAAUUGAAUAUAGAAAAGGAGAAAGCAUUAUAGUCAUUCUGAAUUGUAACUAAACCUUCUCCAUAUACAGAACGAGAAAGAAUCUUCCUUUUGGAGAGCUUUGAUGGAUCUAUUUGAAGUUAGAAUGCCACUGCCAAGGAAAUAGCCCCUCAAAGAUGAUAAGACAACCUGUUUCAACAGGAAUAGUCCUUACAUUCUUGAAAUAUCAAAUCAGAGUCCAUAACCUAAUUCUCCAGUUCAUUAUUUUUUUAAUUUCAUAGUUUUUUAACUAGCUCGGACUGAUGUCUGGCCAGUUCUCGGUUCGAUCAGUUUGAUCGACUGGUCUGAUUCGAAUCUGAAAGCACUGCUUCCAUAUUGUAGUUUAAGAAGACAAACCAAGAAACAAAAAAAAAAAGGAAAAAAAAAGGAAGCCAACCUGUGGUUGUUCAAGCUAAUUUUAACUAGUGCUAGAUUCUACAAACAAAAUCGCCAACUAAUCGCUCUUGGUUUGAGUAAUGUAAAGCAUGGAAAAAUCAGAUAGGUUAAAGUUAUGAGUUUCUCACAUCAGUGAAUGAAAAUUUGCAGCCAAAUCGUCCUGGGACAACUCAAGACCAAAAUCAAAGGGGAGAAAAAAACUAGUGUGCUUGACCGCUAUAACAAAUUAAUGCAAAGACAAUUGAGAAUCCCAGAAGAACAUACAUCCCAAAAAGACAUAUUCAUAAGCAAAAUCCAUGGGACAAAUCAAUGUAAGCAAAACCCAAGAUAAAGAGAAUAGGAGGAAACUAACUCCAUACCCGAUGUAAUUACUACUAGUAAGUAUUUACCUGAGGAAGGGAAAAAAUAAUCUUGGUAAGAGCCUAAUGAUGUAGCAUGAUAAUUAGCAGCAACAAAUUAACAAUUUAGUGAGCAAUUGAGAGUGAUCCACUAGUAAAAUGAUAUUGAAGCUUAGGAUUUCUUAUGCUACAUGUUAACCAAGCGCAGGAAGUAUGCAGGUACACAGCUGAAAAGCUGAAUCUGAACAAGCAUGAUUUGCUGAGCUCUUUUUACAUCCCAACUCAGAGAAAAAUAUGGCAGGCCUGCGAAAAGAAAUGGAAUUGAUGAAUUACAAAUUUAUUCAAUAGCUAAUAGAUAAGGUUACCAUGAGAAAGACAUUUAUUAUUGUGUUGCAAUCAGAGCCAACAAAUUGUUGAUUUGGAUUAAGCGUCAAAGCAAGCUGAUUUUGGGGGUUGCUCUGAAUAUGUUUGUUGAUGAUCAUCUAACCAGUAGAAUGUGGCAAGGACCGAGGACAAAGCUCAGUCUCGAGUCUUCACUGCAUGAUUCAUGAUUGAUAAUCAGUUUCUACUUUCUAUAGUCCCUAGCAUCUGCAGGCAGGCAGCUGUGCGCUAGAGUUGAGAUGAAUCAUGAUUCAUGAUUGAUUAGGACUUGAGAAAUUGAGAUAUGCUGAGUUUGUUGUUGGUCUUUUAUUCAACUCCAGCAACAGGGUUUUUGGGCAUGACUUGCAAGGUGUAAAAGAAGAGAAAAGCGACCUCAAAGCAGCCAGCUGCAAGUUCCUUCGAGUUAGGAGGAGAGCCCAUUGAUUUCAGGUGCAUCAAUCAAAUUAUAUCCUAUACGAUGACAAAGCAACCAAUGUUUACGAUGACAACAUAUUCAUUGAUAACUUUUACAUCUCAUUUAACAAACGUUUGUCAAUCAAGCAUCAAGAUUCUAGAGCGACUAUGGUGGAAAAUACUUUAAUGUUUACAGCUACACUAAUAGCUACCCUUAUACUGAGUAGUGCGAACCUGAGUACAAUAUUCCUAUGUUAGGAUGUAUGGAGUAACCUACGUAAAUUCCCACCUUUCUGCCAAAACAAGAAGUACUUAGAUGUAUUGACUGAGGAAAGAAGCAGCUUUUCUACUUUCAUUCGUUCCUUAUCUUGCAGAAGACACAACAAUAUAUACGAUUGUCCGGAAGAUGAUCAACUAUCACAAAAGUUUAUAAGAUCAUACUCACUCAACCAGGCUUCCAAUAACCUUACAAUCAAAACCAGUACUUGAACGGAUUGCGAGAAAUGUUCAGCAACUUGAAAGGAUAUUCUAGGUAUGCAAACACAGUUAGACAACCUUUGAGGAAUUGCAGAAUUCUAGUAAAACUUCAAUUUCAUCAGCAGAAAGUACAGGCUAGAGAUAGCAACUUCAAUCCUCUUUGAAAGAUGUUCUACGCAGCAUUUCAGAAUUUACAAUGACAUAAAAGCAUUGGAGUUAAGGACUAAUCUUCACUGUCAGAGCUACCAACAUCACUGCUAUAAUCACUACUGUCAUCGUCAAUGUCAAGCUGCACAUGCCGAACUUGUAUAGGCUCGGGUGCCUUUGUAAGCAUCGGAGGGGGGAUAUGCUGAGGUUGUUGCUCUUCAAUUCUAGGAGGUACAGGAAGAGAAUCCAAUGGGGCAGUGCCACUGGAUCACCAGGUUUCCAACCAGGUGGAGGAAGAAUUGGUAGAUCACUGGGCAACUCCACGGGCAUUCCAGGUUUCCAUCCUGAUGGCACAGAAAUAUUAGGUGGAAGCAGACCCUGCAUUCCAGCAAGAUUGGCAAGUGGAUUUGGCUCUGCUGGUUGCCCAACAGGAGUUUCGAUCAAUGGCUCAAUAGUUUUCUUCUUAUCCUCAUCUGUUUUUGGUAAACCAACAUUGAGAUCAGCAAAAGCGUACAGUUGGGAUGCCCGCAUUUGCUCCUCCUGUGGAGCAGGUGGGAGUGCCCCACGGAGAGGAGCCUGUCCAGCACCAAAUUCUGGUGGUGCAAAAGUAGUGUAGCUUAUCCUAUGGGCAUAUGACAAUAUAUCAGAAAGCUUCAGCUGAGAUGCCACAGUGGUGGUUGAAGAAUCUUCUGCAACAUCUUCUGACUUGGACCGUUUUGAACGGCGAUAAUCCGAGUAAUCAUCCACAAGGUUGUCAAGAACCUGCUCAGCUUCUUUGAGCUUGCUUGCAAGUGCAAGAAUUGCAGCAUCUUUUGACCUGAUUUCAUGCGAGAGUUUCUGUUUUCCAUCUUGAAGAUCAAGAAUUUCUUGGAGCUCUGCAACAGCUUCAAAUAGCUGAGUUUGAAGGUUUGUGAAAAGAGCGAGAAUUUCUUUGGAGGAAGAAGGAUAAGAAUCUGGUGCAGUUGAUGUCAAAGGUUGGGAUUGGGAAGACAAGAAGGAGGGCAGGGAACCUCGAAAUGCGCUAAUCCAAUGCGACCUAUUAGG